rnacentral:rRNA from 1 species
UACAGAGGUCUCAAGCGUUGUUCGGAUUCAUUGGGCGUAAAGGGUGCGUAGGCGGCGCGGUAAGUCGGGUGUGAAAUCUCGGAGCUUAACUCCGAAACUGCAUUCGAUACUGCCGUGCUUGAGGACUGGAGAGGAGACUGGAAUUCAUGGUGUAGCAGUGAAAUGCGUAGAGAUCAUGAGGAAGACCAGUGGCGAAGGCGGGUCUCUGGACAGUUCCUGACACUGAGACACGAAAGCGUGGGUAGCAAACAGG